rnacentral:rRNA from 1 species
GAAAUAGCUUUAGGGCUAGCGUCGCGCGUUAACCGCCGGAGGUAGAGCACCGGAUCGAUGAGGGGGCUUCGCCGCCUACCGAUUCGAACCGAACUCCGAAUGCCGGUCGGUCCAGAGCGCGGCAGUCAGAGCAUGUGGGCUAAGCUGUGUGCUCGAGAGGGAAACAGCCCAGACCGCCCGCUAAGGCCCCCAAUUCUCAGUUAAGUGGCAAAGGAUGUGCGUCCGCGCAGACAACCAGGAGGUUGGCUUAGAAGCAGCCACCCUUGAAAGAGUGCGUAAUAGCUCACUGAUCGAGCGCUCUUGCGCCGAAGAUGAACGGGGCUAAGCGAUCUGCCGAAGCUGUGGGAUGUAAAAAUGAAUCGGUAGGGGAGCGUUCCGCCUUAGAACGAAGUACCCGCGCGAGCAGGGUUGGACGAAGCGGAAGCGAGAAUGUCGGCUUGAGUAACGCAAACAUUGGUGAGAAUCCAAUGCCCCGAAACCCUAAGGGUUCCUCCGGCAGGUUCGUCCACGGAGGGUUAGUCAGGUCCUAAGGCGAGGCCAAACGGCGUAGUCGAUGGACAACGGGUUAAUAAUCCCGUACCGGUGAAUGUUGGUGCAGAGGGACGGAGAAGGCGAUUGCCAGCCAGGUAUUGGUUGUCCUGGUUCAACUGAACGAGGUGAUAAGCAGCGGUGAAAACGCUGUGAGCCAAGUCAGGAGUACGUGGAGCUACGGCUCUGAAGUGGUAUAGUCUCGCUUCCAAGAAAAGCUCUAAACACCAUAAACAUUCACUGCCUGUACCCGAAACCGACACAGGUAGGGAGGUUGAGAAUACCAAGGGGCGCGAGAUAACUCUCUCUAAGGAACUCGGCAAAAUGGCCCCGUAACUUCGGAAGAAGGGGUGCCCACCUAAGACGUGGGUCGCAGUGAAGAGAUCCAGGCGACUGUUUACCAAAAACACAGGUCUCCGCAAAGUCGAAUGACGACGUAUGGGGGCUGACGCCUGCCCAGUGCCGGAAGGUUAAGGAAGUCGGUCAGGGCGUAAGCCUAAAGCUGGCGACUGAAGCCCCGGUGAACGGCGGCCGUAACUAUAACGGUCCUAAGGUAGCGAAAUUCCUUGUCGGGUAAGUUCCGACCUGCACGAAUGGCGUAACGACUUCCCCACUGUCUCCAGGACAUGCUCAGCGAAAUUGAAUUCUCCGUGAAGAUGCGGAGUACCCGCGGUUAGACGGAAAGACCCCGUGCACCUUUACUAUAGCUUUACACUGGCAUUCGCCAAGGCAU